AGAGUUUGAUCAUGGCUCAGAUUGAACGCUGGCGGCAGGCUUAACACAUGCAAGUCGAGCGGAUGAAGGUAGCUUGCUACUGGAUUCAGCGGCGGACGGGUGAGUAAUGCUUAGGAAUCUGCCUAUUAGUGGGGGACAACGUUCCGAAAGGAGCGCUAAUACCGCAUACGUCCUACGGGAGAAAGCAGGGGACCUUUGGGCCUUGCGCUAAUAGAUGAGCCUAAGUCGGAUUAGCUAGUUGGUAGGGUAAAGGCCUACCAAGGCGACGAUCUGUAGCGGGUCUGAGAGGAUGAUCCGCCACACUGGGACUGAGACACGGCCCAGACUCCUACGGGAGGCAGCAGUGGGGAAUAUUGGACAAUGGGGGGAACCCUGAUCCAGCCAUGCCGCGUGUGUGAAGAAGGCCUUUUGGUUGUAAAGCACUUUAAGCGAGGAGGAGGCUACCUAGAUUAAUACUUUAGGAUAGUGGACGUUACUCGCAGAAUAAGCACCGGCUAACUCUGUGCCAGCAGCCGCGGUAAUACAGAGGGUGCGAGCGUUAAUCGGAUUUACUGGGCGUAAAGCGUGCGUAGGCGGCCAAUUAAGUCAAAUGUGAAAUCCCCGAGCUUAACUUGGGAAUUGCAUUCGAUACUGGUUGGCUAGAGUAUGGGAGAGGAUGGUAGAAUUCCAGGUGUAGCGGUGAAAUGCGUAGAGAUCUGGAGGAAUACCGAUGGCGAAGGCAGCCAUCUGGCCUAAUACUGACGCUGAGGUACGAAAGCAUGGGGAGCAAACAGGAUUAGAUACCCUGGUAGUCCAUGCCGUAAACGAUGUCUACUAGCCGUUGGGGCCCUUGAGGCUUUAGUGGCGCAGCUAACGCGAUAAGUAGACCGCCUGGGGAGUACGGUCGCAAGACUAAAACUCAAAUGAAUUGACGGGGGCCCGCACAA
rnacentral:rRNA from 1 species